GAGUUUGAUCAUGGCUCAGAUUGAACGCUGGCGGCAUGCCUUACACAUGCAAGUCGAACGGCAGCAUGAUCUAGCUUGCUAGAUUGAUGGCGAGUGGCGAACGGGUGAGUAAUACAUCGGAACGUGCCCUGUAGUGGGGGAUAACUAGUCGAAAGAUUAGCUAAUACCGCAUACGACCUGAGGGUGAAAGUGGGGGACCGCAAGGCCUCAUGCUAUAGGAGCGGCCGAUGUCUGAUUAGCUAGUUGGUGGGGUAAAGGCCCACCAAGGCGACGAUCAGUAGCUGGUCUGAGAGGACGAUCAGCCACACUGGGACUGAGACACGGCCCAGACUCCUACGGGAGGCAGCAGUGGGGAAUUUUGGACAAUGGGCGAAAGCCUGAUCCAGCAAUGCCGCGUGUGUGAAGAAGGCCUU
rnacentral:rRNA from 1 species